UUAUUACCACGGAUAUAAUUGAGUAACAAACGCGUAUAGUCUGUAAUAAAACAAAAUAUUUAAUAAAAAUUGAAUCUAUACCUAAUGAUAUUCUGAUAUUUUGUAAAAAAAAAAAUCGCAUAGUAAUGGAAUUCUGCUAGUAAUGAAUUUCUGUUCUGAGGAAGUGCAGUAACUCCAAGAAGCAAAUUGUUCACUGCAGGUAUAACAUGAAAAAAAUAACAAAAAGAGCUGACGGACAGAUGGAGAGAUAGAUAGGAGUGAAAUUUCCGUAUAACGAAGUCUCGUAGGAACACAAAAUUUGUAUUAUAUUAUUUGAUUAACAAAUAAGAAAUAACAAUGAUAUCAAGGAAGGUCAUGAUUCUCAAUAAUAAUUGGUUAAAUAGACAAUUUCGUUAAAAGAAAGUUCAUUAUAUGGAAGAUUUACUGUAUUUUUAGAAAAAAAUCAAAAAUUUCAAAUAAAUAAGUGCCAGACUGCCAGCUGGAUUCACGUUAAUAACACAAAAUAUACUGAAGCAUUUUUACUGUUACAAAAGUACAAAAACACAAUAAAAGUACAACAAUGAACUAAUGAACAAAGUAUCUUAUCACAGAAUAAAAAUAGAUGACGGAGAACUACGCUAGUGCGGUGUUCCUAUAUGGAACUAUGGAAGUAUGGAACACUGGUAAGACUAUAAAAUACCUAAUUCAUAUCUAAGAUU